rnacentral:rRNA from 1 species
UACGUAGGGUGCGAGCGUUGUCCGGAAUUAUUGGGCGUAAAGGGCUCGUAGGCGGUUUGUCGCGUCGGGAGUGAAAACCCAGGGCUUAACCCUGGGCUGGCUUCCGAUACGGGCAGACUAGAGGUAUGCAGGGGAGAACGGAAUUCCUGGUGUAGCGGUGAAAUGCGCAGAUAUCAGGAGGAACACCGGUGGCGAAGGCGGCGUCCUGGACCAACACUGACACUGAGGAGCGAAAGCCAGGGGAGCAAACGGG